UUCAUUUAAGCGCCACCCAUUUCCCAUGUUUCUAGUCUGUAUUAGCAAGGACUGAUACAAUUAGGUCUUCACAUUAGCCUAUAGGAGAAAACUGAUGGCCUGUGUCACACAGUGAGAAAGCAGUGAAGAUGGGAUUGGAGCCUCAGCCUCCUGAUUCCUAAUUCAUGACCUCUUCCUUGACCCUCUGAUUCACAUUGGGGCUAGUUUAUUUAGAAAUCAGCCCAAGUGUCUUCUCGUGCUCUGGAUUGGUGUUUUUCAAACUGUGGAGUCAUGAAAUUGGUUCAGAGGAUCAUGAACCGGCAUUAAAAGAAAAUAGGCUAGAAACGGAGUGCAUCCCACAUAGUGGAGUUUGGUUUCCUGCAGAAGCAAACUCCAAUUUAAGGACUAUCCAGGAAGCACAAAUGAGUGACUGGGAAAAGUGAGACAGAGGAGGGAAAAAAACCCAUAAAAUGCCGUGGUAUACAGAAUGGACUGCAUAAGGAAAAGAAGAGGCCAGGUUGCCUGACGUGGUGAUGCAGGUGUGAACUGAUGACAAUGGGAAAGGAUAUAAAAGAGAGAUCAAAG